ensembl:snoRNA
AAAUGAUGAAAUCACCCAAAAUAGCUGGAAUUACCGGCAGAUUGUGUAGUGGUGAAUUGUGUCACUUGGUCUGAGU